CAUUCAUACGGACCUAGGAUCAGUUUAGUGUCCUCAAGUCCUAUCCUCAACCAUUAGGGUGGAGGAACUAAAAACUGACCUCCGAUCAGUGUCUAUGGUAAACACUGACUCACCCCAGUAGGUAGCAGGCUGUACAAAUCACACACUGACUCAUGACUAUACAGUAAACCAAAUAAGAUGGCAUGUAUCUACAACUACGCUCAUUAGAGCUCCACGGCCCAGAUCUAGGAUCAGUCUACCCUCCCUUCAUUAGCCCAGUAGGUAGAGUGCCAGCUCCACAGCCCAGAUCUAGGAUCAGUCUACCCACCCUUCAUUAGCCCAGUAGGUAGAGUGCCAGCUCCACAGCCCAGAUCUAGGAUCAGUCUACCCUCCCUUCAUUAGCCCAGUAGGUAGAGUGCCAGCUCCACAGCCCAGAUCUAGGAUCAGUCUACCCUCCCUUCAUUAGCCCAGUAGGUAGAGUGCCAGCUCCACAGCCCAGAUCUAGGAUCAGUCUACCCUCCCUUCAUUAGCCCAGUAGGUAGAGUGCCAGCUCCACAGCCCAGAUCUAGGAUCAGUCUACCCUCCCUACAUUAGCCCAGUAGGUAGAGUGCCAGCUCCACAGCCCAGAUCUAGGAUCAGUCUACCCUCCCUUCAUUAGCCCAGUAGGUAGAGUGCCAGCUCCACAGCCCAGAUCUAGGAUCAGUCUACCCUCCCUUCAUUAGCCCAGUAGGUAGAGUGCCAGCUCCACAGCCCAGAUCUAGGAUCAGUCUACCCUCCCUACAUUAGCCCAGUAGGUAGAGUGCCAGCUCCACAGCCCAGAUCUAGGAUCAGUCUACCCUCCCUUCAUUAGCCCAGUAGGUAGAGUGCCAGCUCCACAGCCCAGAUCUAGGAUCAGUCUACCCUCCCUUCAUUAGCCCAGUAGGUAGAGUGCCAGCUCCACAGCCCAGAUCUAGGAUCAGUCUA